AUUGAACGCUGGCGGCAGGCCUAACACAUGCAAGUCGAGCGAGCGGCGGACGGGGGUGUAAUGUAUGGGGACUGCCCGAUAGAGGGGGAUAACUACUGGAAACGGGAGCUAAAACCGCAUACUAUCGGAUAAUCCAUAUGGGAUUAUCUGGUAGGGGGGGUAAUGGCUCACCUAGGCGACGAUCCCUAUCUGGUCUGAGAGGAUGAUCAGCCACACUGGGACUGAGACACGGCCCAGACUCCUACGGAGGCAGCAGUGGGGAAUAUUGCACAAUGGGCGCAAGCCUGAUGCAGCCAUGCCGCGUGUAUGAAGAAGGCCUUAGGGUUGUAAAGUACUUUCAGUCGGGAGGCGUUACCGACAGAAGAAGCACCGGCUAACUCCGUGCCAGCAGCCGCGGUAAUUC
rnacentral:rRNA from 1 species